AUGAUAAAAUAAACAUACAUCAUCAAUCAGUAUAUUGCGUGGUUUCAAAUCGCAGUGAACCAGGAAAGUUGUGUGCAAUAGAUGGAGGGCGUAUGCAACAUCCCGUAGUAACUUCAGUGCUUGUGGCCAAUCCAAUGCUACACAAAGUGUAAAAAUGCAUGUUAGAAGGGAUAAUGUUUGUGCAUGAGCUUUGUGACCACCUUAAUACCUGGUGUGCCAAAAAUAACAAGAGUACAAAGAUCAAACCUGUAGAGCUUCUAUGCUAGCAAGUGGUUUUGUAGUCAAUAAGAUUUGUGAAACAACAAUUAGUUCUCAUGUGUUGUUAACCAUUCAUUGUAAUCAGUCAAUAUUAUGGAGAAUAGUUAGGAGAGUAAACUUGACCAUAUCACUCAGGUCCAAAGAAAAAGAGGAGGAUAUUUCAAUGAUGGGAGACUUUUCUUAGGCAUUUUAUAGUAGUUGUCAUUUGAUGUCCUAAAUUUCCUUUUGUUAUGUCAGUUAACUUUCCUUGAUCUCGUUGUGCUAUGUUGAUCUUCCAAUAACGCCAUGCCUCCUGUAACUGCCUGCAUUAUGUGCUAGUCUAUUCGAGAUGCAUGAUCAAAAAAUAUAAUAAUCAGAUGCAUGAACUAUUCGAGAAAUUCUUCUUCUGCAGGCUUAGAACCAAUAACGGCUAUUACCCUCCAUUUCUUUCGACUCAACACUCAGCUCCUGCCUCCUUGCAACAUCCCUCGUAUUUCAGGUAUAUGAACUUUUCUAAAAAGAUUUUCUUUUUUAAGAAGUAAUUGGUUUCAUUGGCAUCAAGGAAAGAGCAAAAUAGUCACAAAAGUGAAGAAGCAAAAAAGGCAGUUGUUAGCUCCAUUACAGAUGUUCAGAUUAAGACUAGGAAGCUAACAAAGUUCAAAAAACCAUCAGGUGAAUCUGGGUAUAAAUAAUUGCACUGAAUAAAUAAAAGAAACAUAUAGCUUUGAGAGAUUGGUAAGUAGUUGAUAGUCCAUCAAAGCAUCUUUUGUUCCUUUCCUUCCAAAUUUUCCUAGAAAAGAUGUCAUAUGCAUCUUAUUACUCUGGUUAUCCCAUAUCUUCUGUCACUUCAAUUUCUAUGUAUAUGGAUGAUUCUUAGCUUGUACUUAUUUCAAUCAAUGCCAUCAUUCUGCAGGAAAGUAUGAACCAAGGCUUUUAAUAGCUUCUUGCGAUGCCCCUAUUGGAAUGCAGUUAAUUUCCAUGUUUCUAAUGGUGAAAAGGAUGAAUUGAGUGUUAUCUUCUAACAUUUUACGACGAUGUGAAACUUGUUCUGCUGGAAACAUUUGUUUGAGAGUAGCUGAUUUUGGUGGUUAGCUGUAUAAGUGAUGAGCUAUCUUACUAUAGUAGGACGAAGGCACUUUCAAACUGAAAAAUAUGGAAAAACUUCAGGGGUUAGAGGUGUUAGUUCUGUGUCUGGAGAAGACUACUCUAAUAUAGUCCCUUUUUGUCCAUUUUAGUUAAGCUCCAAUUUACCAUUUGGGGGUCGAUUGAAGAGUUUUUUCCCUUUAACUGACAUAUUGCUAGUGGAAUUUCGUGAUUUUGAGAGCAUGCAGCCCAUUUAAAGAGUUUCAGUUUCCUCUUCAUUGUUCUAAAUCUAUCCACCAAUCUAAGAGAUUGACUCACUCUGAGCUUGGACCAAAGAUAAGACUAAAAAGGACGAAUCGACUUGCACUUGUCUAACUUCUAUUAACAGAGCUUAGAGCAGCUUUCGAAAUAAAAUGCUAGCUUCUGAACCAAUUUGGUAUUCAAAUUAUUCUGUAUUCAUUUUGUUUAUUUUUAGAGAGAAUUUGUUUUUGCUAGAAGCUAAAUCCUAGUCGUUACAACGAUCUCACAGACUUUUUGCAUGUAGCCAACAAACUGCAGGGCCUAAAGCUCUAGAAUGGAGAGAUCCGGAUUCUAUCUAGCCGGAGAGAACUUUGGUGUUAGUCGACAUUAGCAAUGACUACUCAAACUGGUACAUGCUAAUAAAAAAGGUAGAAGAAUCACCAGCAGAAUCAAGGUAGACGGUGAAAAUCUGAGAUGGUCCUACUAAGCCUUGAAACAAGCAUCUGAUAGACGGUGAAAAUCUGAGAUGGUCCUACUAAGCCUUGAAACAAGCAUCUGAUGGCACCAAACUUUGCAGAAAAUGAGGUAGAAACGUACAAAUUUAUACAUGCAGGAUGGUGCUAAAUUUCAACAGCUUCGGAAGAUACGUCCUACUUGAAUCUUGGCUAGGUGGAAGCAGAGUAGUGGUGAUUGUCCCAGAAAUUUGAAACAGAUGCAGGUUGGACAGAAUAUGGCAACAAGAUUUUAAAAUAAUUGGAAGAGUUGAUGGGCAGAAACGAACAAAACCUAUUCAGAAGCUGCAGCAACACAACUGUGGCAGAAGAGGAGAUUCGAAAGAAAACAAAGGGGAUACCAGAAGGAAGAGUUAGUGUAUAUGAAGCAACUUUUGGUGGACAGAGAAGAGUAUUUACCAGAAGGAGAUUCGAAAGAAAACAAACAGUGGACGAAGGAGCAGACCAAUCAAUGUUUUUGCAUGGAAGAGAGAUGAUGCCAACAGACACAGAACAGAAACAGAAUCAAAUAUAGAUAUAUGCUCCUUGGAAAACUGGACAUCCUAUGCAUCAAUUGGGGCACCGUCUUUACCAUGGUAUGAUGAAACAAACAACAUGCAAGGUGGUAUGAGCUCUUCAACAGAAACCAAAGGUGUGCUAACAGCUGGGAGUAGGUGUGGGAGGUUUUGAACAAGAUCUAUUGGGCUUGCCGCUACGAGUAGAAUACAUGAGGAUGCAGAAAAAUCAAAAUAUCAUCAUAAAGCCACCAGCACCAGACAGUGAAAAGAGGAAAAGAAAGAACAAGGUGAAAAAAAUAGAAUUCAAAGUUGAGUAUGGGAAAGUGAAGGGAGAACCAGGCACAGGAACAACGUAAUUUUAGAAGAUUAAGAUUCUAAGUUAGAACUUAAGGGGUGUAAACAUACUAGGAAGGGAAGAUGCUAAGGUCAUUAAUACAGAGAUGGAAAACAGGUAUCCUGUGUUUUCAAGAAACAGAAUUGGAAGAGUGGUCAGGCAGCAUAAUCCGGCAAAUUUGGGGGAAUAGAUAGGUUGACUGCGUUGUCUCAAAGCCAAAGGUAAUCAGGCGGAAGAGUAAUACUAUGGGUUAAGAGGAAUGGUCUUGCUUGAAUGACAGAACGGGGUUCUUAGGCCCCAUUUGUUUGCACUAAAUGGAGAUCUGAAUCCUAAUCAUUCAUAUCUUAAAUAUUAAGAGCGUUUGUUUUUAAAGCCUGAAUCUUAAUCAUUCAGAUCUUACUCAUUAAGUGUGUUUGUUUGUUUUCCUUCACAACUACUUAAUGGGUCUGAAUAGGUCUGUAUGAUUAAGAUCUAUAACAAAGACUUAAUUUCAUUAAGAUGUUAUCAUCUACAUUCAUUACUAACUGUCGUC
rnacentral:lncRNA from 1 species